rnacentral:RNase_P_RNA from 1 species
GAGGUAAGAGCUCACCAGCGGUCCGGUGACGGACUGGCUCUGUAAACCCCGCCUGGAGCAACACCGCGGAGGGACAAUAUUGCGACCCGCAAGUCCCGGGGAGGUGGCUUGAGCCGGCUGGUGACAGCCGGCCUAGACAGAUGGUUGUCCAAUACAGGACCCGGCUUACAGGUUUGCUCAGAAA